UACAGAGGGUGCAAGCGUUAAUCGGACUUACUGGGCGUAAAGGGUUGCGUAGGCGGCAGAUUAAGUCAAUGCUUAAAUAUCCCGGCUUAACCGGGAAAAGGGUUUUGAUACUGAUUUGCUUUGAGUCUUGGAGGGGUAGUCGGAACUUGCAGUGAAGCGGUGAAAUGCGUUGAUAUUGCAAGGAACACCAAUGGCGUAGGCAGACUACUGGUCAAGUACUGACGCUGAUGCACGAAAGCUAGGGGAGCGAAAGGG
rnacentral:rRNA from 1 species